rnacentral:rRNA from 1 species
CCUACGGGGGACAGCAGUGAGGAAUAUUGGUCAAUGGGCGCUAGCCUGAACCAGCCAAGUAGCGUGAAGGAUGACUGCCCUAUGGGUUGUAAACUUCUUUUAUAUGGGAAUAAAGUGCAGUAUGUAUACUGCUUUGCAUGUACCUUAUGAAUAAGGAUCGGCUAACUCCGUGCCAGCAGCCGCGGUAAUACGGAGGUUCCGAGCGUUAUCCGGAUUUAUUGGGUUUAAAGGGAGCGUAGGCGGGUUGUUAAGUCAGUUGUGAAAGUUUGCGGCUCAACCGUGAGAUUGCAGUUGAUACUGGCAGCCUUGAGUACAGGAGAGGUAGGAGGAAUUCGUGGUGUAGCGGUGAAAUGCUUAGAUAUCACGAAGAACUCCGAUUGCGAAGGCAGCCUGCUGGACUGUAACUGACGCUGAUGCUCGAAAGUGUGGGUAUCAAACAGGAUUAGAUACCCUAGUAGUC